rnacentral:lncRNA from 1 species
AUGUCAGCCACCAUCUGCAGCAUCAGACAUGGCCUAUGUUCCAUCUUCAGAGUCUGCAGCACUUACUGGACUCCUGCCCUGUGUCGGGCCUGGUGCUGGGCUCUUAGGAUGAGGAGAAAGCAGCCUGGGCAGGGAGUGACUUCCCCAGGUGCGGAGCAAGCCCGGGAAUGCAGACCCUGUUUCCACAGGCCCCAAGCUCUUCUCGGACCCUUGGCCCUGGCGGUAGCCUCAGAUGAUGAUGGGGUGCCCUGGCCUCUCCACCAGCGGGGCGUGCUCCGGCGGUCGCCUUUCUCUCUAGCCUGUCUGCUCCUCUGCCGAGCGACGCCCCAGCAGCGCAUUCCUCCGGGGGUCUGGCUUCUGCGGAGUACAGGAGGGGUCUUCUCAUGAGUGCUGUGCCGGGGACCAGGAGGGGACCCUGCGUGGCCCUGGGGCAGUGAACUGAGUCUGCUCGAGGGCGCCCCCACCCAGCUUGGUGAGCAGGGCCUGGGUGGCCGCCAGCUGUGCUCACAGCCCCACCCCGGCAGGCACCACGGCGCUCGCCCUGGGAACAUAUGUUUGCCACCAGAGGCCUUGAAUGUCUUGUAAAACUCACAAUUUGUUCAAAAGAAUAAACAGCAUGAAAGGAGAUGUGCGCCUCCAUCCGGGGCAUGGGUUGGGGGUGGGGGCCCUGGGCUGCUUUCCAUUUAAACCAGACUUGGAGUGAUGUGCUUGUGCACACUGGUCCAGGAAAGCGCUUCCCGGCUGGCCCAGGGGCUUGGCUCUGGCCGGGGUCAGGGCUACAGGACCUCACUCCCCAUCUGCAGAACAAGGAUAACUAACGAUCACCCUUACUGCAGUACAGGACGGAUGCGCGCAAGCGCUUGCAGCAAGCCUGCCAGAGUUAGCGCUGGGAGGACCAGCCAUCACCCUUUUAGAAGGUGGCCAGGGACUGCUGGGGCCCUGCGGUCUGGAAGAUGCAGGAAAGGCUAACGGGACAGAAAGUCUAUGCUGCUGAGAAGGACAGAGACGGCAGAACAAGUAGCAAGUGUAAGCUUUGGAUAGUUGCAUUUUGAGGAACUAAAUUAAAUUCCCCAAG